rnacentral:rRNA from 1 species
GAUGAACGCUGGCGGCGUGCCUAAUACAUGCAAGUCGAGCGAACAGACGAGGAGCUUGCUCCUCUGAUGUUAGCGGCGGACGGGUGAGUAACACGUGGAUAACCUACCUAUAAGACUGGGAUAACUUCGGGAAACCGGAGCUAAUACCGGAUAACAUGUUGAACCGCAUGGUUCAACAGUGAAAGACGGUCUUGCUGUCACUUAUAGCUGGAUCCGCGCCGCAUUAGCUAGUUGGUAGGGUAACGGCUUACCACGGCAACGAUGCGUAGCCGACCUGAGAGGGUGGUCGGCCGCCCUGGAGCUGAGACACGGUCCAGACUCCUACGGGAGGCAGCAGUAGGGAAUCUUACGCAAUGGGCGAAAGCCUGACGGAGCAACGCCGCGUGAGUGAAGAAGGUCUUCGGAUCGUAAAACUCUGUUAUGAGGGAAGAACAAAUGUGUAAGUAACUAUGCACGUCUUGACGGUACCUAAUCAGAAAGCAACGGCUAACUACGUG